rnacentral:rRNA from 1 species
GGGCGUUGCGGCGUGCCUUUUACAUGCAAGUCGAGCGGACAGAUGGGAGCUUGCUCCCUGAUGUUAGCGGCGGACGGGUGAGUAACACGUGGGUAACCUGCCUGUAAGACUGGGAUAACUCCGGGAAACCGGGGCUAAUACCGGAUGGUUGUUUGAACCGCAUGGUUCAAACAUAAAAGGUGGCUUCGGCUACCACUUACAGAUGGACCCGCGGCGCAUUAGCUAGUUGGUGAGGUAACGGCUCACCAAGGCAACGAUGCGUAGCCGACCUGAGAGGGUGAUCGGCCACACUGGGACUGAGACACGGCCCAGACUCCUACGGGAGGCAGCAGUAGGGAAUCUUCCGCAAUGGACGAAAGUCUGACGGAGCAACGCCGCGUGAGUGAUGAAGGUUUUCGGAUCGUAAAGCUCUGUUGUUAGGGAAGAACAAGUACCGUUCGAAUAGGGCGGUACCUUGACGGUACCUAACCAGAAAGCCACGGCUAACUACGUGCCAGCAGCCGCGGUAAUACGUAGGUGGCAAGCGUUGUCCGGAAUUAUUGGGCGUAAAGGGCUCGCAGGCGGUUUCUUAAGUCUGAUGUGAAAGCCCCCGGCUCAACCGGGGAGGGUCAUUGGAAACUGGGGAACUUGAGUGCAGAAGAGGAGAGUGGAAUUCCACGUGUAGCGGUGAAAUGCGUAGAGAUGUGGAGGAACACCAGUGGCGAAGGCGACUCUCUGGUCUGUAACUGACGCUGAGGAGCGAAAGCGUGGGGAGCGAACAGGAUUAGAUACCCUGGUAGUCCACGCCGUAAACGAUGAGU